rnacentral:rRNA from 1 species
UACGUAGGGUGCAAGCGUUAAUCGGAAUACUGGGCGUAAAGCGUGCGCAGGCGGUGAUGUAAGACAGAUGUGAAAUCCCAGGGCUCAACCUUGGAACUGCAUUUGUGACUGCAUCGCUGGAGUGCGGCAGAGGGGGAUGGAAUUCCGCGUGUAGCAGUGAAAUGCGUAGAUAUGCGGAGGAACACCGAUGGCGAAGGCAAUCCCCUGGGCCUGCACUGACGCUCAUGCACGAAAGCGUGGGGAGCAAACAGG